rnacentral:rRNA from 1 species
UACGAAGGGGGCUAGCGUUGUUCGGAAUCACUGGGCGUAAAGGGCGCGUAGGCGGCUUGGCAAGUCAGGUGUGAAAGGCCUGGGCUCAACCCAGGAACUGCACUUGAGACUGCCUCGCUUGAGUCCGGGAGAGGAUGGCGGAAUUCCCAGUGUAGAGGUGAAAUUCGUAGAUAUUGGGAGGAACACCGGUGGCGAAGGCGGCCACCUGGACGGUAACUGACGCUGAGACGCGAAAGCGUGGGGAGCAAACAGG